GUCACUCUUUCAACUUACACUUGCACCUCAAGAUUGAGUCCCAGAGAACAGCUAAUACUCAGAGAUUCUUGGAUACCCUGCAGAUAUUCUCUCCUAAAACUAACUCAUAAGCCUCCUCCCUAUGUUCUUAGCAAGGAUAUUUGCUAAAAAGGUACAGCAAGAAUAGUAACCACAAAACAUUCCAUCCACAACCCCUAGCAUCUUCAAGGAAGAAUGAGCCUGCAGAGUACCAUAGAAAUGAGGUGACUCACAAUACCAGAAUGGCAGAGCCCAAUAUUUUCUCCUUUGGGAAAGCCCUCUGUGCAGCUAAACUCUUGAUUGUCAGAACUAUGUCUUUCUUGAGUUCAUAGCUCUAUUCUGUGCUAUUCUGGAGAAUAUGUGUUUCUAUGUCCUCACCUAUGCUUUGAACUCUCUAGAAUUGACUGACUGCUGGAUGGCAGAUCUUCUGGCACUCCAACUGCAGUCUGGACUAGAGGCAGUCUUCCAGCCAAGAGUAUGUUCAGAAUGGCCACAUAGUGGACACAUCGACUUUUCUCUGCUAUGCUAUCUUGGGAGGUUUAUUUAUAAAUAAACAAAAAGCCUGUCUCCCCUUUUAUUCAGUAAAGGAGUGGAGAAACUUGUACCAUCAAUCUUAAGAUUAAACUUUUUCCCCUUUAAAAUCCAAAGGUUGCUUUGGAAUGCCAAAAAAGGGAUAAGGGCUAAAGUUAAAUUUCCACAUUACCUUUCUGGACCAAACAAACAAAAAAAGGAACAAAAACUGAGGCCCAGAGAAGAGAAAUUACUUUGGUAAGUAGCCUCACCAUUUUGGUUCAUUUACAAGACAGCAUAAUACAAUGAAAAAAACAAUUAGAUUUUAGAUCAAAUUCCCAUUAUUCCAAUUACUACCUGUGUGACACUGGGCAAAUCCCAUAGCCCCUUUUGGGUUUCUGUUUGCUCAUAUGAAAGUAGGGGUGGGAUGGAGUUGGCUUACGUAACUCCUGCAGUCCCUUCCAACCUCAAAUCUAUAAU
rnacentral:lncRNA from 1 species